ACCCGGUGAACUGAAACAUCUAAGUAGCCGGAGGAAGAGAAAACAAAAGUGAUUCCGGGAGUAGUGGCGAGCGAAACCGGAUUAGCCCAAACCAGUGUUGUUUCGGCAAUACUGGGGUUGUAGGACCACGACAUUGAUUGCGUAAUGAAUUAGAACACUUUGGAAAGAGUGACCGAAGAGGGUGAUAGUCCCGUACAAGUAAAGAGCGUUAAUUAUAGUGGUAUCCUGAGUAGUGCGGGGCACGUGAAACCCUGUAUGAAUCAAGCGGGACCAUCCGUUAAGGCUAAAUACUCCUGAGAGACCGAUAGUGAACCAGUACC
rnacentral:rRNA from 1 species